AAAAAAAAAAAAAAAAAACCAAUUUCAUCAGCUAACAUUUUGUUCAGUCAUUCACCCUUAGAUCUCCUUUUAUAUUUGAAUAUUAUGAUGAGAUUUGCGUUAUUAGUUUUUAAGUUUAUUUCUUAGUAAGGUUUUAACCAUUUUCUAAUGUGCCAUGUUUGGUAUGCUGAGUAUAAUACAGGAAUACUGAGAAUGGCCACCUAUC
rnacentral:misc_RNA from 1 species